rnacentral:rRNA from 1 species
GUGCCAGCAGCCGCGGUAAGACGAGGGGUCCAAGCGUUGUUCGGAAUCAUUGGGCGUAAAGCGGGUGUAGGUGGCUCUAUAAGUCAGAAGUGAAAGCCCCGGGCUUAACCCGGGAAGUGCUUUUGAUACUGCAGAGCUUGAAUGUGGGAGAGGGUAGUGGAAUUCCAGGUGUAGUGGUGAAAUACGUAGAUAUCUGGAGGAACACCGGUGGCGAAGGCGGCUACCUGGCCCAACAUUGACACUGAGACCCGAAAGCGUGGGGAUCAAACAGGAUUAGAAACCCGCGUAGUCC